rnacentral:rRNA from 1 species
GACGAACGCUGGCGGCGUGCUUAACACAUGCAAGUCGAGCGGUAAGGCCCUUUCGGGGGUACGACGAGCGGCGAACGGGUGAGUAACACGUGGGCGACCUACCCUCAGCUUCGGGAUAAGCCUGGGAAACUAGGGUCUAAUACCGGAUAUGACCUUCCCUCGCAUGGGGGUUGGUGGAAAGUUUUUCGGUCNGGGAGUGGCCCGGCGG